AUUGAACGCUGGCGGCAGGCCUAACACAUGCAAGUCGAACGAGUGGCGGACGGGUGAGUAAUGUAUGGGAAACUGCCUGAUGGAGGGGGAUAACUACUGGAAACGGUAGCUAAUACCGCAUACCAUCGGAUGUGCCCAGAGGGGAUUAGCGAGUAGGUGGGGUAAAGGCUCACCUGGGCGAAGAUCCCUAGCUGGUCUGAGAGGAUGACCGGCCACACUGGAACUGAGACACGGCCCAGACUCCUACGGGAGGGAGCAGUGGGGAAUAUUGCACAAUGGGCGCAAGCCUGAUGCAGCCAUGCCGCGUGUAUGAAGAAGGCCUUCGGGUUGUAAAGUACUUUCAGCGGGGAGGCGUUACCCGCAGAAGAAGCACCGGCUAACUCCGUGCCAGCAGCCGCGGUAAUUC
rnacentral:rRNA from 1 species